AUACGGAGGGUGCAAGCGUUGUUCGGAAUUACUGGGCGUAAAGCGCGCGUAGGCGGUCUGUUAUGUCAGAUGUGAAAGUCCUCGGCUCAACCGGGGAAGUGCAUUUGAAACUGGCAGACUUGAGUACUGGAGGGGGUGGUGGAAUUCCCGGUGUAGAGGUGAAAUUCGUAGAUAUCUGGAGGAAUACCGGUGGCGAAGGCGACCACCUGGCCAGAUACUGACGCUGAGGUGCGAAAGCGUGGGGAGCAAACAGGAUUAGAAACCCUAGUAGUCC
rnacentral:rRNA from 1 species